ensembl:lncRNA
ACUGAAUGGUAGUGUUGACUGAAUGGUAGUGUUGACUGAAAGGUAGGGUUGACUGAAAGGUAGGGUUGACUGAAUGGUAGUGUUGACUGAAUGGUAGUGUUGACUGAAGGGUAGUGUUGACUGAAAGGUAGUGUUGACUGAAAGGUAGUGUUGACUGAACGGUAGUGUUGACUGAACGGUAGUGUUGACUGAAAGGUGCUGUUGGGUGAAAGGUGCUGUUGAGUGAAAGGUAGUGUUGACUGAAAGGUGCUGUUGGGUGAAAGGUGCUGUUGACUGAAGGGUAGUGUUGACUGAAGGGUAGUGUUGACAGAAAGGUAGUGUUGAAUGAAAGGUAGUGUUGACUGAACGGUAGUGUUGACUGAACGGUAGUGUUGACUGAAAGGUGCUGUUGGGUGAAAGGUGCUGUUGACUGAAGGGUAGUGUUGACUGAAGGGUAGUGUUGACAGAAAGGUAGUGUUGAAUGAAAGGUAGUGUUGACUGAAAGGUAGUGUUGACUGAAAGGUGCUGUUGAGUAAUAAGACAAGCUUAUGGCCAAGGUUGUGUCUGGAAUGCCUGAGUAUACAGGCUGAGUAAACAUUAACCUGGACCAAAUACUUAUUACGUAAACAAUGACUGCCGAAGCACACACCGACAAGGACACAAACACAUGUCUUAGUUCACAAUAUAUGUCACGUGUACUCCCUCUCCGGCCUCUAGGUCAUCGGGCUGCUGAUUAUUCCGCACACCUGUCACCAUCGUCUCACUUCACCUGCGCCUCAUGACACUCAUGAGUGAAAUACCAAGAGUGUGCCAAGCUGUCAUCAAGGCAAAGGGUGGCUACUUUGAAGAAUCUCAAAUAUAAACAAUAUAUUUAGAUUUGUUUAACACUUUUUCUGGUCACUACAUGAUUCCAUAUGUGUUAUUUCAUAGUUCUGAUGUCUUCACUAUUAUUCUACAAUGUAGAACAUAGUAAAAAAAUAAAGAAAAACCCUUGAAUGAGUAGGUGUGUCCCAAUCUUUGACUGAUACUGUAAAAGUAAUUGAUUUGGGUUUGAGAUAAACCUACUGUAGUUUUAAUCAUACGUAUCCUUACAAUCUUCACAUGGCAUUUACAUAAAAUGUAUAAAAUGAC